GGGGGGGGGGGGGGGGGGGCGGGGGGCGGGGAGGGCGCGGGGGGCGGGGGGGGGGGGUGGCGCGCGGGGGCGUGACGGGUGGGGACCGUCGCUGGGGGUCGGAAUCACUCCCCGACCGGGGUGCUAAUACGGGAGCAUGUCUUCGGACCAACGCUUUAUCGCCUUUGGAUGGGCCCGCGUUGGAUUAGCUAGUUGGUAGGGUAAAAGCCUACCAAGGCGACGAUCCAUAGCUGGUCUGAGAGGAUGAUCAGCCACACUGGUACUGAGACACGGCCCAGACUCCUACGGGAGGCAGCAGUGGGGAAUAUUGGACAAUGGGCGAAAGCCUGAUCCAGCAAUGCCGCGUGAGUGAUGAAGGCCUUAGGGUUGUAAAGCUCUUUUACCCGGGAUGAUAAUGACAGUACCGGGAGAAUAAGCUCCGGCUAACUCCGUG
rnacentral:rRNA from 1 species